AACCUUUCCUUGUGUCCCAGCAGAGCGCCAAAGAGAAAGCAUUUGCCUUCCGGAUGCGGAUUGAAGGACUUGUUCCCAAGAGGUCCAGAGCGGGUAAGCGAGUGUGUGGUGUUGCUUUUUUCUUCUUCUCUCUGUGUUCAGCUUCAUCAGUGAGGGAGAGGGCCCUGAUGUCAAGUGUCCUGGUUCAGUGAGAGCAGCAGAGAGGCUGCGAUCACCUUCACCUGGAUCGAACACGACGUCCACAGCGAGCGUUGGGUACUCCAGCGUCGUUCUUGAGCUCUUGGUCGUCCUGGAAUGCUCUGUGCACUUUCUCUCUGCACGUACUACAUGACGGCUGACAAGAACAUCCCCGCGAACCUGCUUCCUCUACCCCGACAUGCGAAAAGACAAGGCCUUUGGGAAGUACUAGCCCAAACCCUCUGAGACUCCAGUGUCAAUGGAUGUGGAGAACGCAGAGAGGACGGGCUACAUGAAGACGGAGCUCAUUUCUGUCUUCGAAGGAUGAGUGCAGAAUUUGAGGACCAAAACUGAGGACAGCAGAACUUCAUCCACGUCUUGAGACUGUACUUUGUGUUGGACCCAUUGUUCAUUUGAGAUAAUAUGCUGCCUUGAAACUGUGAGGUUGAACAUUUGCAGUCAGAGGAACCGCGGCCAGAUCCACUGUACAUAUGUCCAUGUGUGAAAUCAGUGAAAUCCUUUGUAAUGGAAAAUAGAACCAGUACAGUUUUAAGUCUUGUGGAAAAAGACAAGUUUUUUUGUAUUUAUGAUAAUUAUAGUAUUUAUAGUAUAAGACUAAAGUAAAUACUUAGUAAAAUUUGUUUUAGUGUUGAACGACUAAAGUAAGUAGUUACCAACAUUUUUGUAAAGACUAAGGUAAGUACUUAGCAAAGUUUUUGUAAAGACUAAGGUAAGUACCUAGCAAAAUGUCUUUACACAGUAAAGU